UCUGAGUAAAUCUGACUUGGCUAGCAACCACCCAUGUAUCUAAUGAUUCUUUUGAUCUUGCAGAUGAGAUCAAGCUCAGUGGGAUGAUAGAGGUACAGUCUGUGGGAACCAAACUUCAAGCUAUUUGAGACUUUGCCCUUCUUUUUGAAAAACCUUGAAUUUAAAAUGAAUAGAAUGAGGUAAUUUGGCACUCCUAACAACCAAGAUCAACCGGCAGAUUAAUAGCUUUGCGUAACAAAGCUUGUUUCUACCAAAUCUACAAGACACAGUACAGAAUUCGGGACUCAAUUGUCAGUGAUCUCAGCAGUCCUUCAUCUGGUUGUGCUCAGCAAACUCGGGAUUUCUACACUUGGAACUUGCUUCUGUUGUCAUCAUGUCUUUGUGUAUUUUUUUCUUUAUCAAACAUAGCUGAGAAUUAUGAGGAGAUGAGAUGGGACUAGAGCAUUUCCCUAUGGACACUGCAGUGAUCUACUGGUCAGAAUGAACUGUACAUCAGAUUCCUUUCCUUUCCUUUGCUUCUUGACUUCCAAAUUGUCUGUUAAGCAUACCAAUUUCUUUCCAUUCCUUCUGUCAUUUUCAUUUUUAUAAUGCAAAGGAGAAAAUCCACAACAUGUUCUGAUGUAUGACUGCUCUUAAUGACUUGCCUCCACUUUUUCCUUCCCUUCCUAAAGUUUGGAAACUAAACAUGAGCACACAGAAGGGCAGACACGUUUCCCUGGCUUGACUACCGGCAUUACUCUGCAAUCCUAAUGUUUGUAAAUGUAAUAUUUACAAAUAACAUCUUAUACAAUGCAUAAAAACAGUGUCUUUAGUUUCAAGGUAGAGCAGGCCCACCACAGCUUGCAGUUAGCCACCUCCUGAACAGCAAAGAAUAUGCAGUUGAGCUUUCUGCUAUGAAAAGAGAAUUUGAGAAUAGAAUCAGAGAACCACAGAAUCCAUGGAGUUGUAAGUGACUUUUAAAGGUCAUCCAGUCCAUCUCCUCUGAAAUGAACAGGGACACCUACAGCUAGAUCAGGUUGCUCAGAGCCCCAUACAGUCUCAUCUCGAACGUCUCAAAAGAUGGGGCUUCCACCACCUCUCUGGGAACCUGUCUAAUUGCCUCACCACCCUCACUGUAAAAAACUUUCUCCUUGUAUCAAUCUAAAUCUCCCUUUUUCUAGUCUGAAACCAUUUCCCCUUUUCCUAUCACCACAGACCCUGCUAAAGAGUCUGCCUUCUUCUUUCUUAUAACCCCCCUUUAGAUACUGAAAGGCUGCUAUCAGACCACCUCGCAGCCUUCUCUUCUCCAGGCUGAGCAGGGGAGGUA
ensembl:lncRNA